rnacentral:rRNA from 1 species
UUAAAAAGCUCGUAGUUGAAUUUCGGGGUUAGUAGGUUGGUCAUGCCUCUGGUAUGUACUGGUCUCACUGAUUCCUCCUUCCUGAUGAACCGUAAUGCCAUUAAUUUGGUGUUGCGGGGAACUUGGACUGUUACUUUGAAAAAAUUAGAGUGUUUAAAGCAAGCUAACGCUUGAAUACAUUAGCAUGGAAUAAUGAAAUAGGACGUUCGAUCCUAUUUUGUUGGUUUCUAGGAUUGACGUAAUGAUUAAUAGGGAUAGUUGGGGG